UGUUCUAUAAAGCAUGGAGGAGUGCGAGGAGUUAUCCUUGUAAAAAAUAGGCAACGUGUUUUUUCCUUUAACUUAAUUGUAAAACUCGCGCUCCUACAGUAUACGAUGUCUUUGUGUUGCUAUAAAUGUUGUAUACGAGUAUAUUUUAUAAUGCAGAUAUGAAACCAAACCAGUGUGUUUCUCCUUCUUGCUGUAUGAUGCCAUAUAUUUUCGCCUGCAUAUACUUACCUUUUGUCUAUAUAUUACUUGAUUUUGUUUUAAUUCAUAAGUUUUGAAUUUCGGUAGAGUAUUACUUUAUUUAUAGUGUUGUCCACUCCGAUGGAGGGUAACCUUGUUACCCAAUUCCCGUCCAGGUUGCCUUAUCAAUCAACUUGGAUAUAUUCGACCCACGUUCUGUUGACAACGAGAUAGCCGUUGCUAGGAAUUGGAGUACAAUAAACGGGAAACAAAUCCGGGAUAAACUCACAGAAAUCAUCAAUUAUGUCCCGUGGAAAAUGAAUAUCCAGAAGCUAAUACCUUACUUCCUCUUUCCGGAGACGAUGUUGGCAACACCCUUCUAUUCCCUUAAAAUAAUUAUCUUAUGGAAUAUAAUCGGUUUCAAUUCGAUGUUUAAGUCAAGUUCUUCCUCUCUUUUUCCUUAACGUUGAGAGAUCCUUGAUGCUAGUCGCUUGUUCUACAAUUUACAUCUUCUAUGGAAAUAGUCAGCAGAAAUUUCAUCUCCUAUUGCAAUGAAGAAAGACAUACUCUUAAAAUACCUUGCUGCUAGUCUGUUUUAGUUUUGUAAUGAUAUGAAAUAUUAUGGGGGACUUCCAACCGAAUUUCAUUAUAUAUGAUGUAGUCAAAGCAUCAAUAUUGGAGAGUUCAUCUUCAGUUGGGGAUAGUUAUUAAAUUUCAUUCAAAAGAAUCAUUUAAUAAUUUGGAAAAUGACUUCAAGAAUAUGAUGUUCAAACGCAAUUGAAUUUUGGAAAUUUAGAGGCUGUAUGAAGUGAAACUUUUUGUUCCUAUUAAUUGCUAAAGAAGUGCUACUCUAGGAAUGGACGUGAUUCGAAAUAUUGAUAAAUACAUUACGCUUGACAUAUAAAUCAUUUUCAAGUUUUGCUUUAUUAGAUUGUAUUCGCUUAUUGAGUGAGGUAAGUGAUGAAUAAUUUGCCAAAUUUAUCUUUUAAAAGUUAUUAUGUCAAAGGAAUCCAUUGGUCAACAUAUUAUUUUUUAAUUACCCCAUGAUAAUUAAGAUUAGUAUUUGCUAUCACUAUUUCUUUAAUUGCCUAUGAAUGAGUAGUUCGGCUUAUCUAAGACUUUUUAUUUAAAUAAAAUUUCAGGGUUAUAAAAUAAAUAACACACCUAGUUAUUUAAAUAAGGAGUUUGAAUUUACAUUACUUAGUCUACAUCACGAAUGAAUGCAGUCAAAUUUUACUUCUUUUCGGCUGAAAAGUUGCCUAUAUUUUGAUUUUUUCUUAUAUCCGAAGUAUAUAAAAAACCACAUUUUUUCGAUACUAUUUUAAAUCUUAUAUUCAUUUAUACGUCUGUUAAUAUCGUCAUAGCUCAUGGUAGUUCAAAAUGGUCGAACCAAUCAGUCUGAAAUUUACCAAGUAAACGUAUAAAAUAAUUAAGCAUGUUUUAAUUCCUUUGUAAUAGCACACUGUCGUUAAUAAUUGAAAAAUAAUUAUUUGCCAUCAAAUUAAAGGUAAACUGAGAAAAGAAUGACCGUCCUCACAUAAUCCAGAAAAAAGUUUAUACAUUCUGCUAUUUUUGCCACGAAACACCUCACAAAGACUUCUUGUUGGUUGAAGAAUGACAUAAAUAAUGAAUGAAGUGCUUCAUCGUUAAAGAUUUGUUCUUUUAAUUUAAAAAGACACAUUGCAAACAAAAAACAAGGUCUGAAGGAUAUAUUAACCCUCCUCUAUAUUAAAUGUUAGUGAAAAGUGCAUAGUUUUCAUAUUAUUCAGCUAUUAUGAGAUAAUUGAAGAUUUUUACAUUGAAGGUAUUUGGUUUUGAGUACGAGUCCUCUGGAAAUAUUUCCAGAACAAAAAAACCACUAUGCUUUUUAAGUCUUCCAAAUCUUCAUCUUCCCAAGUAGAGAGAUCCGAUAGUAGGAUAUCUGUACCCUUGUUGAAUGUAAUGUGAAUUAUCUUGAAUCUGUUUUAUCUUCUUUAUGCCCAUGUUAUUGAAUUUCAUUAAAGAUUGGAGGCGAAUCGUUUUUUCUGAAUCAAAGAAUUGCCUAAUGGAGAAUUAAAAAUUAAGAGCUGUUGGUUGUCUAUAAAGACCAAAUUUUUUUCUUCAGGAUCCGAAUUAAUAUUUCCCAGUAAUAUACUAUUUAAAUAAGAACAGUUCACGCGGAAAACAAAAAUGUAUCAACACGAUAAUAAAAAAUGGUACAACAUGAAAUUGUGAAUUAAUCAUUAUGUUUUUGAAUAUUGUUUUUAUUUGCUAUAUUACUUAUAAUAGGUGCUAUAACAUGUUUUGAGUGUUUUUGGUGCUUUAUUUUGACAAUAAAAUUAACACUGUUCGUAUUAUCCGAUUAAUUUGGUUUCAAACAGUUUUUGCCUGAUUUUCAGUUAAGAUGAUUGCCAUUAUUUAAUCAAUUUCUGUAAACUGAGAUAUUUUACUAUAAUAUUAAUGAACAUGAAGCCUUCUAGAGGGCACUCUAAAAUUUGAAACUUUUUUAAGGACCUAUAAGAAGGGCAGGGCCGAUUUUAACUCCCAAAUACAACUUUAAUUAAUGUUGACCCUCCAUUGGCCAAAUUGGGAAAGUCAUUGUUGUCAUACAGGAUUCAAGAUUUCAAAUUUUUAUCCGAGACAGUUAGUGUGUUUCCUUAUAGUGGUGGAUAAUGAUAGAUAUUCCCCUUCUUGACCAAGGACUUUCGUGAGAGGGUGAUAAAAACAACAAACUGAACCCUCAUCUAUUGAAAUGACCUUUCUGACUCCAAGAUUACUAGGACACUAUUUUUCCUAAUUUCAUAAUAAGAGGGAUUUACCAAAGAAUAUACUCGUCACUGAUAUAUAUAUAGCUUUAGCUUUUCUGUUAUACAAAAAGUCUUGUCUUCCUUUAUUUCUUGUGCAAAUCCAUGUAUAAAAUACUUGAUAUUUCGUCUUAAUUUAUAUUGUUUUCAUAUUUUGACUCCAAAAAGUAAAAAGACAUGAACAUGAACCAAAGUAAUAAAUUACAAAUUCAUGUUCGUCAAAUUUUGAAUUUAAAUUAACUUAUAUGAUUUAACUGAAUUCAAUUAUUGAAAUUAUUAUAUAAACGGUUUUUAAUAAGCUAUAUAAGAUUUAAAAGGAUAGCGUAAUAUUAUUCAAAUUUAUUGACUUCAGCAAUGAGUAAUACAAUAUUUAAAGGCUAUAAUAUAUUUGAAAGUUCUUGUUGGUUGUGUUUGAUAGUUAUUGUAUAGUAAUGAACAUUUUAUUUAUGAACAUUAUUAUUAUUUAUAGCAAGACAUAAUUACUGCAAAAUUAGUAUUCAUGAACAAAAAUUGAAGUUCAUUUUCAAACCAAAUAACUUAAAUUCCUUAUUGAACUCAAUUCAAAUCCUAUUUUUCGUUCUGUUAAAA
rnacentral:lncRNA from 1 species